rnacentral:rRNA from 1 species
GAUGAACGCUGGCGGCGUGCCUAAUACAUGCAAGUCGAGCGAACGGACGAGAAGCUUGCUCCUCUGACGUUAGCGGCGGACGGGUGAGUAACACGUGGAUAACCUACCUAUAAGACUGGGAUAACUUCGGGAAACCGGAGCUAAUACCGGAUAAUAUAUUGAACCGCAUGGUUCAAUAGUGAAAGACGGUUUUGCUGUCACUUAUAGAUGGAUCCGCGCCGCAUUAGCUAGUUGGUAAGGUAACGGCUUACCAAGGCAACGAUGCGUAGCCGACCUGAGAGGGUGAUCGGCCACACUGGAACUGAGACACGGUCCAGACUCCUACGGGAGGCAGCAGUAGGGAAUCUUCCGCAAUGGGCGAAAGCCUGACGGAGCAACGCCGCGUGAGUGAUGAAGGUCUUCGGAUCGUAAAACUCUGUUAUUAGGGAAGAACAAAUGUGUAAGUAACUAUGCACAUCUUGACGGUACCUAAUCAGAAAGCCACGGCUAACUACGUG